rnacentral:tRNA from 1 species
AGUUUGGUAGCUCAGUCGGUUAGAGCACUCGAUUGAUAAUCGAGAGGUCGUGAGUUCAAGUCUCACCCAGACUACCA